GUGCUACAAACUGCUCAGGCUACUCCUUGGCACCACUGGGAACAGCACUUUCUCUGCUUCAAUCCAGACUUUCAGAAAUAAACGGAGUUUGUUACUGACAGGCUCUUGUGGAGAACUGUUUGAAGAGAGGGGAGACAUCAGAGAAGAAUGGGGAAAUGAAGGUGAAAACUGAAAAACCACCUCAAACCCUCCUUUCUGGGGACAGUCUGCUCAUUUUCUGUUAAUGCUGAAAUCUUGCUGCACUCCGUUCUAUCAGUGCACUGGCUAUCCCAGAGCCUGAAUGUGGAAAGAAGCAGGAAGAUCCGUGUAAUUACGUUUCCCACCUAAGCUCUGCUCUGCCUCCCCCUCUAAGCUCUGCUCUCCACCCCCUCCCCCCCCCCCCCCCAUUUGGCGGAUGGAGCCGAAGCUCACUGCUUGGUCAGGCAGUCAGCUUGUGGUGGUCGGUUACUCAGUUGGCCUCCUUCCUAUGAAGCGCAAAGCACCCGCCACUAACUUGCCGGGGUUGGCCCUAGCUCUGCUCCGGAAGUGGGGGAGCCCAAGCCUUUAUGGAACACACUCACGUUGGGGUGGCCUCCCCCUCUCCGUUCUCCUGUCCUCCCAACCAUUUCCCAUAUCGCAAGGUUGCUGCAGUUUAUCACUGCCUCUUCCAAAGUGUGGCAGCUAGAAUAAGACCGUCUCAAAUCCCCAGCCUCCAGUCCCCAGCCUUUGACAUGUUUUCAGGGCGAUUUUAUCCACAUCCGAAGCUCAAAUAAGCUGACGGCUCUCUCACAUUUCAGCUCCAUAUAUUCACCUGGCUCCUGGACAUCUGUCUACUCGAGUGCUCCUCAGAUACCUCAAGCUCAGUACGCCCUAUUUCUAGUACUUCCUCCACAGCUGCACAGAUGGCUCACCACUCACUUGGUGGGCCUGGGGAGACACCUCCCGCAUCCCAUCAUCCGAAGUCAUCAACUAGGCUUUCUUUAGAUUUCCCUUCUUACACCCUACAUCUCAUUCCUUAAUUCAGGCCCCUGCUGAACAUCUAUGCAGUGCUUGAUUUUGUGUGCCUAAAGUUGCCGAGCCUUUGAAGAACACUCUUCUUUCUGACGGGAUUCUGUCCCUCUUUCUUAGGUUCACUUCCUCUCUGCCUGUGUUCUCAAUCUCUAUCUCCAUUUCUUCAAACUGCUUCCAAAAUUACCUCGGUAGUGUAAAUUUGAUUGUGUCACUCACUCCCCACUCAACAGUCCCCCAAGUCUUGCCAGGUUAUCCAUGUUCUCAGCAUACUUUGGGCUUCUGAGGCAAAGUGGCUCAGAGCUUCUGUGGCCGCUCAGUAGUGACCCUUGUCAUUGACAUAAUGGCCCUUGAAGCUAUUUGACCACAUUUGCCAGGCAUCCCCUCCAUGGAUCCUAUAAAGGCAGAACAUAAUUGAGAACCUGAGUUUAAGUUUCUAAAGAGUAGCACCCAACUGAUCAUGUGGUUAUUUUUAUGUUUACCUUCAAAAUAAAUUUAGGAAAGAACAAUAAUCAUUUCUUCUUUCCUGAUUGACCAAUAAAGCUUCCAUUUAAAAUGUCUGCACUAAAUUUGUGCUUUCUAAGAUUUCUCUCCUCUGGAACUGGGUUUUUAUUAUUAAGACAUGAUAAAUAUUUUCCCUUUCUGUUUUUCAGUAACAUCCAUUAAAAAAUGUUGAGGAAGUACUGCAUAAUCAAGGAUUCUGUAUACUGACUUAAAAGAUGUUAUCCGUGGUCAGCUGCAGUCCAGAAGCAGGUGAUCUUCCUUCUGACAUAUUGUCAGAAAGUCAGUAGUAGUCUGACACUACAUUACCAAGUCCACACCAUUCAUGUCACUUCAUCUCAUCACGGAGGCAUUUUAUCAUCUCGCAUUAUCAAAAGAACAAGGGUGAUGGCAGCUUGGAAGCUGCGUUGGCAAAGAAAGGUCUGGCCAAGCGAGAAGGUCUGGACAUUUUAAACAGCAGCAAAAACAACAAUAAAAGGAACCAACCCCAGAAUGUUACCUGCUGGGGCAGCGGAUUCUAUUCCUCUGAGCUUCACGUUCCAGCUGCCACAGUUACAGCCUAAAGUGCAGUUGGAUGGGAAGUGCCGGGCUGCCACUUGGAUUUCUUUUGAACAAAAGGCAUCGUGCAGCCACACAGCCCAUUUACUAGACCUGUGGAAUGUAAAUGUGUGUUUCAGAGACCCUGGUGACAGUUUUGCGAUGGUAAAUGCUCCAACUCGGAGUGAACGGCAGAUGCUGGAAUAUGAAAUGCAGAACACACACACACACACACGCGCACACACACACACACACACACACACACACGGAACUUCCUGGCAUGCACAGACGAGACACCGGACGGACAGCCUAGAAGUGGAAAAUGAAUGUAAAUAUUACCCCACCCACUCAGGUACAGUAUACAGAAAUGAUCCAGAUGUGCGGUUUAUAUUACUAUGAAGUGCAUACCACAUUCGGUUUCCAGGCAUUAGUUCAAGCAAAUAUUUCCUCGCCUUAGCACAUUCCUAUAUUAUAUUCCAAAAGUUGACCGUGUAACGAAUGCCCACCUACAUAAUUACUUCUCCUGCUGUUUAUAGAACAUGCAUAGCACCAUGGAAAAGAAGGUAACAGAAGAAUAGAAUUUCCAUACCCGUUUGGGCUGCUGUGGGGUACUUACUGAUUGAUAAGAAGUGUCGUGUGUCCUUGUGACAUUGGACGUGUGUGUAUGUUGUGUGAGUUGCGUGCACGUGUAUGUGGUGAGGUGGAGCGCCGGGGGAAGAGAUAGAAAUUAUUUUGCUUUUUAAAGAGCUUAGACUUUAUUCUAAUCAACGAAUAAAUUCUUGUUAUUACCAGGCUUUCUAAAAGACCAACAGUGAUAUAAAAAUAAAGUGUGUUCAAGGGGUAAUAUUUUUUUAGGCUGAAAAUAUUGCUUCGACCAACUGAACACAUAGCCCGUACCAGGAGCCCACAACCCCUUCCCCACCAAGGGUAACCAGUUUCCUCUUAGUUUCCCCUGUCAGUGAUUUUUAUGACUUGAGGUUAAGCUGUUUCCAACCUCAAUUAUUCUGUGUUCCCUUAGGGAGAGUCUCACCAGCUCUCUCUGAACUAUAAAAAGGUUCUGUGAAUAUGUGAUCAUCCGACUCCACUCCAAGUGUAAAUACCAUGCCAUUCCCCAUUUAUAGUUGAUAAAUGCACAGCUACUUAGCACUUUAUCAGAGGCAGAAUUAUGCUCUGGAAAGAGUAUAAAAUUUUGGAAUCAAUUGGACAUGAAGUUACUUCUAACUUCUAAAUUGGGCUCAGCCUCGGGCAAGUUUUUUCUCAUCAACAUGUGACAACUCCGCACCUUGUCUGGCACGUGAUAGCACGCAAGGAAUGUGAGUUUCUUUACCCUGUCCUUCCACAGACCUACAGUCAGCCACACUCUGUCUCAGAAGCUGGAAUGAUGGGUUCAUUCCCGGUGCACCUUGGUGCUGCAGUUCGGUGGUGGUUUUUCCUAAGUUUUAUCUGCUUUCCAACCUGCAGGAUAGCCUUUAGGUGACUGAAAAGACGCGGAUGACAACUGACAUGCAACCGAGGAUGUAAAGGCAACAUGUACAAUAAGGACAAGAAAGGUGCCACCGUAGACAAAAAUCUAUAGGCUGCUGCAGGGCCCCAGCUCUCCUUGAGACAGUGAUGAUGGUUAAUAGCAACGCUUAACACUUACUGUGUAUUUAUUAUAAACCCAGACUGUGCUAAGUCAUUUAUCCCUCACAGUUACCCUGAGAAUUAGGUACAGGUACUGUUAUUAUCCCAUUUUACAGAUGAAUAAACUGAAGUACUCACUGGCCUAGAAACUCGCCCAAGAUCUCACUUAUAGUUCAUACUGAAGCUGGGAUUUGAACUCAGCUAAUCUGUCCCCGGGGUUUGCUCUCUUCUCCAGAAAUCAAAAAGUCUGGCUGCAAAUCCACAUUAGGCACUGAGUGUGAAUAGUCAGUGAUCGUUCAGUCACAGAGGUACCUGGGAAAAGUGCUUCUGCCUCUCAGAUGUCAUGUGCCAGACCCCCACUGCACCGCAACCCUACACCUACAAGAGCCGGGGACAGGAGGCGUGUCUGAGUUUAGUGUCAUGGGGAUCAAGCCGUUCCAACCUAGAACCACAACAUCCCGUGUUGGGGAGCAGAUGGAGAGAUUGCCAGUCUGGAGGGUGUGAGCGAGCAUUUGCACAUGGAACCCACAAGCCAUGGAUGUCAGUGAAAGAGCUUGACAAUGGUACCAUUACCCUCCUGAGGAGUACAGGUGGCUAAGCCUCAGCGUCUCCCAGGCCUCUUGGCCCUUUCCAUCCCUGCCUCCUGAUCUUGCUUUCUGGCCAGGUGUCAAGGAAAGAAGUUGGUAACAUCCGUCUGCCUUCUAAACUCAUCUUGUGCAUACUCCUAGGAAUAGAUACCCCAAUUUGUUCUGUAACCACAGAGAAGACACUUUACCCCCCAAGGCCAAAUCACCUCGAAGAAGGCGUCGUGGUACCUGCUGUUUAUUGUAACAAUCAAGCGAGAUAAUAAAUAUGAAAGCACUUG